GAACGCAUAUUGCGCUCUUUGGUAUUCCGAAGAGCAUGCUUGUUUGAGUAUCAGUAAACACCUCAAAACUUUUUUUUAUUUUUGAAAAACAGUUUUGGACUUGAGCAAUCCCAACACCAAUCUUUUUUAGAUCGGUGGCGGGUUGCUUGAAAUGCAGGUGCAGCUGGACAUUCUCCUGAGCUAUAAGCAUAUCUAUUUAGUCCCGUCAAACGGAUUAUUACUUUUGCUGCAGCUAACAUAAAGGGAGUCUGACCGUAUUGGCUGACUGAUGCAGGAUUUCACAGGGGUUGGAAACGACUCUUGUAAAACUCGAUCUCAAAUCAAGUAAGACUACCCGCUGAACUUAAG
rnacentral:misc_RNA from 1 species